rnacentral:miRNA from 1 species
UGAUACUUUUAAAAUCGAUUAUUUAAGAACCGAUUUUGUAUGUACAUACAAAAUCGGUUCUUAAAUAACCGAUUUUAAACAUAGUA